rnacentral:rRNA from 1 species
UACGUAGGGGGCUAGCGUUGUCCGGAAUCAUUGGGCGUAAAGCGCGUGUAGGCGGUCCGGUAAGUCCGCUGUGAAAGUCGGGGGCUCAACCCUCGGAUGCCGGUGGAUACUGUCGGGCUUGAGUACGGAAGAGGCGAGUGGAAUUCCUGGUGGUAGCGGUGAAAUGCGUAGAUAUCAAGGAGGAAUACCGAUGGCGAAGGCAGGUCUCUGGGCUGAUACUGACGCUCAUGCACGAAAGCGUGGGGAGCAACAGG